rnacentral:rRNA from 1 species
CGAGUGGAGGUUACUUCGGUAACGAAAGACUAGCGGCGGACGGGUGGAGUAACGACGUAGGGCGAACCUGCUCAUAGAGGGAAGUAGCUCCAAGGGAGAUUAAUACCGCAUAAGAUUGUAGCUUCGCAUGAAGUAGCAUUAAAGGAGCAAUCCGCUAUGAGAUGGGCCCGCGGCGCAUUAGCUAGUUGGUGAGGUAACGGCUCACCAAGGCGACGAUGCGUAGCCGACCUGAGAGGGUGAUCGGCCACAUUGGGACUGAGACACAGCCCAGACUCCUACGGGAGGCAGCAGUGGGGAAUAUUGCACAAUGGGGGAAACCCUGAUGCAGCAACGCCGCGUGAGUGAUGACGGCCUUCGGGUUGUAAAGCUCUGUCUUCAGGGACGAUAAUGACGGUACCUGAGGAGGAAGCCACGGCUAACUACGUG